rnacentral:sRNA from 1 species
GAUGUUUAUGCUGUGUUAAUCCCCAGUUCUACAACUGCUAUUACAUUUGUCAUUCUGUCUCCCCUUUUCCCUAAUUCUUUUAUGUAUGUAUACAGUUUGAGGAAAUGUGCAUCUAUGGUCAGUCCUUUUUAAAAGACUUAAUGAAUUUAUUACUCUUUUGCAAAAAAUAUACCCACUGCUUAUAUGGGCAUACAAAUGCUACCCUAUUUUAAAUGUAGGUGGCGUAUGUGUUCGUGUUUUAAUGUAUUCAGAGCCAUUGGGCAAUAAGCAGUCCCGAACAUUGAAAACUCAAGCAGCAGACAACUAAACUGGUAGGUGGCAGCAGAGGAAGGAAUUCUUCAGAUUGAUGGCUACUGACUUAAAGUCUGCAUAGGAGAAGAGAUAGAGCAUGACAUACCAAGUGAAGCAAGGGGGACAAAAAUGGAAACAGGACUAAGAUUCUUGCAUUUUGACUCUAAAUGGUUCUUUUGAAGUAACCAGUGAUCUUUUUUGCUUACCCUCAUCAACAGAAUGGAUGAAGAUAGAUUUGACUGCUUUUUCAAGUGGAGAAUAUGAAUAUACAGAACAAGAAAGCAGUAACUCCAACCUGUUUGAUUCCGUCUAUUUUCUAAAUAAAGACACAAUGCACUGAAAAUAACAUA